rnacentral:rRNA from 1 species
CUACGGGGGGCACCAGUGAGGAAUAUUGCACAAUGGGGGGAACCCUGAUGCAGCAACGCCGCGUGGAGGAUGACGCAUUUCGGUGUGUAAACUCCUUUUAUAUGUCAAGAAAAUGACGGUAGCAUAUGAAUAAGCACCGGCUAACUCCGUGCCAGCAGCCGCGGUAAUACGGAGGGUGCAAGCGUUACUCGGAAUCACUGGGCGUAAAGGACGCGUAGGCGGGGUGGAAAGUCAGGGGUGAAAUCCUACAGCUUAACUGUAGAACUGCACUUGAAACUUCUAAUCUAGAGUAUGGGAGGGGGAGAUGGAAUUAGUGGUGUAGGGGUAAAAUCCGUAGAUAUCACUAGGAAUACCUAAAGCGAAGGCGAUCUCCUGGAACAUUACUGACGCUAAGGCGUGAAAGCGUGGGGAGCAAACAGGAUUAGAUACCCCUGUAGUC